CGCGGGAUUGGCACGGGGGGACGCGGCGCAGCAGGCGCGAAACCUCCUCAAUGCACUAACGUGCGAAGGGGUUACCUCGAGUGCUACCUGAAGAAGGUGGCUUUUCCUUGGUCUAAAAAGCCUCGGGAAUAAGAGGGGGGCAAGACUGGUGUCAGCCGCCGCGGUAACACCAGCCCCUCGAGUGGUGGGGAUGAUUAUUUGGCCUAAAGCGUCCGUAGCCGGCCGGGUAAGUUUCCCGUUAAAUCCAACGUCUCAAGCGUUGGACUGCGGGAAAUACUGCCUGGCUAGAGAGUGGGAGAGGUCAGCGGUAUUCUGGGGGUAGGGGCGAAAUCCUUUGAUCCCCGGAGGACCACCAGUGGCGAAGGCUGCUCACUAGAACACGUCUGACGGUCAGGGACGAAAGCUGGGGUAGCGAACCGGAUUAGAUACCCGGGUAGUCCCAGCCGUAAACGAUGCAUGCUAGGUGUUGGGUUGGCCACGAGCCACCCCAGUGCCGCAGGGAAGCCGUUAAGCAUGCCGCCUGGGAAGUACGAUCGCAAGAUUGAAACUUAAAGGAAUUGGCGGGGGAGCACCACCAGGCGUGAAGCCUGCGGUUUAAUUGGAGUCAACGCCGGGAACCUUACCGGAAGCGACAGCAGAGUGAAGGCCAGAUUGAAGAUCUUGCCAGACGAGCUGAGAGGAGGUGCAUGGCCGUCGCCAGUUCGUGCCGUGAGGUGUUCUCUUAAGUGAGAUAACGAACGAGACCCGUGCCACAUGUUGCCAUCAGAAUCUAAAGGAUUGCUGGGCACUCUUGUGGGACCGCAGCCGAUAAGGCUGAGGAAGGGGCGGGCAACGGCAGGUCAGUAUGCCCCGAAUCUUCCGGGCCACACGCGGGCUGCAAUGGUAUGGACAGAGGGCUGCCACCCCGAAAGGGGGAGCCAAUCCCUAAACCAUACCUCAGUUGGGAUUGAGGGCUGCAACCCGCCCUCAUGAACAUGGAAUGCCUAGUAACUGCCAGUCAUCAUCUGGCGGUGAAUACGUCCCUGCUCCUUGCACGAAUUCGCCGAAUCACUAGU
rnacentral:rRNA from 1 species